AGACGGUUAACUCAGUGGUUAGAGUGAUUGGUUUACAUCCAAUAAGUCAUAGGUUCAAAUCCUAUACCGUCUA
rnacentral:tRNA from 1 species